AUGCAAAGACCCUUCUCAUUUGUUUUGUACUCCUAUAUGGUAGUACCAAGGCGCGAUUCCCCCUUUCCAGUCACAAACGACGUCGUUCUCAAGUCCGCUUUCAUCUCCGCUGCUUCGCCACUCAAUCAUCAUCACCUCUGGCCUCGAAGCUCCGUGCUUCUUCAAUGUGAUGUCGAUGUCAAGAAAUCAACGAAAGCUCCACCAAAUAAAGAAGUGUUGAAGAAAUAG